rnacentral:lncRNA from 1 species
UUUACUCUCUUUCUGCAGGAGGAUCUGUUGGCAAUCAGGCAAACCAACUUAACAUUUCUUUUAAAGAGUGACAGUGAAUUCAGGCUUUCUUUAGACAGUGAACUGUGACCUGCUGUCAGAAAAGGCUACACUGCCUACAUCAUGGUAUUGUCAAGGUGUUUCCUUCAACUUCUUGGUUAUAAUCCAUUUUCCUCUGAAACACCUAUUUGUGAACAAGAACUUUGUCAACUUUGUGGUUGUGAAAUUUAGGGGGAGGAAGAGAACAAAUAGACUGUGCUCCUCCUUUCAGAGUGGUUUCAGUCCUGAUCAGCAAUUUUUGAUUAC